rnacentral:lncRNA from 1 species
GGCCGGGCGCGCGUGAGAAUGAGUGGGGGGCGGACAGGAGGGCAAGGGUCCAGUCAUCUCACUCCGACCUGCCAGACCUUCCUGCCCCCGCCCCAGGUGCGCCGCUAGCAGCUCCCGCCGCACCACCUGGGGGAGGGCGGGCGAGGGCGGGGCGGCCCUGGCGCCCCCUGGCGGCCUCCUACGCAGGACGCGCGCUCCCCCCCCCCCCCCCCGCCCCCGCNGCCCGCCUGGGGCAUCCUGAUAGGGUUCCCCCGGCCUCGGGCAUCCUCGUGGGGUCCCCCAGCUUCAGCAUCCUUGUGGGGUCCCCUUGUCCUCAGGCAUCCUGAUGGGGUUCCCCCGGUCUCAGGCAUCCUCCUGGGGUCUUCCCAGGUUCAGCAUCCUCGUGGGGUCCCCCCAGCUUUGGUAUCCCCCCGGGGCACCCUCUCCCUGGGCCCAGUUCACCCGCGGGAGCGGAUCUACAGGUGCGGACACCUGACCGCCACCCGGACACCCGCGGCGCGCGGCGGCCCCGCCCCUCCACGCCGCCCAGCCCAAGACGUGGGUGGAAAGAGGGAUUUCAGUUCUGGCCCUGGCGCGCUGGGUACCCGCGUAGCCGGCGCUAGUGACGCGGGCACCGCUUCCGCUGGGCCCGUCCUAUUAUUAAUGCGGUUCCGAUUCGCCAGCGCGCCUCAGCCGACGGGUCAAACGUUACCCCCCCCGCCCCGGGCCCCGGGCCGUGGGGGCAUCUGGGGCAUCCACCGGCGUCCUGCAGGCCUCUCGGGUACCCGCGACAGACACAACUUCGCUUUUGGGGUUAUUUGAAACCGCAAAGGAUUUAUGACUUUUGCACCGCAGACACUUUAGCCGCCCUGACGCCCCAGCCCCUCACCCGAGGCCACCACGAAAACGUGGUCGGGUCCUGGCCGCCGAGCUGCGCAGACGAGACGCAGGCGGGUUGGCGAGGAAAGUGUAAAGUGAACCGGCGGGCGCUGGGGAGGCUUUCCCGAAACCCCUCCCCCGCCGCCUGGAAACCCCAGNNNNNNNNNNUC